rnacentral:lncRNA from 1 species
UGUCUUAAUUAAAUUAAGCUAAUUAGCAAUCGAAUUGCUAAUCGAUCCUCCUGCAACACUUGCACUAGGUUAAAUGUCAAUCGUAUUGAUCGUUUAACCUUAGAACGAUUCUUAAUCGUUGAUCAACCAUCCGAUCGAAUCGUGAACUCUAAUUUGUGUGACCUCAUAGAUCCAAAUCUAAUUUGAUAGCAUAGAAAUAAAUUUUUAUACCAAUCAAGUGAUCAUCUAGCAAUGGUACCCG